rnacentral:lncRNA from 1 species
CUACACUACUCAACAGAAUUUAACCUUUUCUAAAAGUUCAAAUUACAAAUGAAAAAGAAAAAUAAAACCCUGUUCCACUACAACCGGCAUCCCUCAGUAGAUUCCAUAUCACCCCAUGCUAUCGUCAGAGUCAUCAUCAUCUCCAGCAUCUGCAUCCUCAAAGUCAUCAUUCUUAUCAUCAUCUUCAGCUACUUCAACUACACUCUCCUAUGCUUGCUCCUGUGGCCACGCCAUAGCACUAUGGAACUCAUCCAUAGUCCACUUGUGUGCUGGUGGUGUAUCAUAUAGACUCACUAUCAUCUUAGCAUUG